UGCAAAGAGGGCUGGAGAGGACACAGAGGAAAAUCGUUUGUGCUGACAAACCUGCGUUUUGUGUCCACAAGCUUUUCAAACUUCAGUCAGGAUGAAGCAUGCUCAGUUUGCAGCAGUCCUUGUGACUAUAUUACUUGCUACUUGUGUUACACCGGAGCCUGAUUCAGGUGAAGAAUGGAAAUAUCUAGGAAAUCCACAGAACAGGAACCUGUUUUACAACAUUCUCCAGUCCUACUUUAACAGAAGAGGCAUUAAGCUGGUUGGCAUGGGGAGAAAAGACAAACUGCUCGGCAAUAUGGGAGGAAAAAUAAACUCCAACUAUGACAGAUAUAGGCAGAAGCUGGAGAACAACAGUUUUUAUGUGUGAAAAUGUAACAAUUUCAUCAAUUUCAAACAAUCACUAACUAAGCUGCAAUUUCCUUUUGAAAACCCUUCUUUGCAUACUUUCAGGUUUGGUAUUUGCAACUACCAAAAUUAAAAUGUGUUUUAAUGUUUUUUUUUUUUUUCAAAUAUGACUAAAAUAUAUAUAGGCUUUUGACAGUGAAUAAUUGAUAUUUAACCUUGAACAUAAACACAUGAGAUAGAACAUACACUAUACUACCAAUGCAUAGUAUGCAAAAAUAUAUAUAUAUGAAUUUGCCCAAUGCCUAUAGAAUGGCACAACUGGAUUUAAUUCAGCUCUUAGUUUCACAUUCUUCGUGCACAUCAUGUGAUAAGAGGUAAAGUGAAAGUUUGUGUACUGACUGAAUCUAUGCACUAAAGGGUUGCACCAUCUGUUUUUUUUUUUUCAUUUGAAGUUGCUCCAAACAAAUAAUGUGAUUCUUUGGAGAGUUCUAUCAAGUUGUAAACAGUUUUCAACAAUUUCACAAUAAAAGGUUAAGUUGGAUC